rnacentral:rRNA from 1 species
GCAAGUCGAACGGUAACAGAACUAGCUUGCUAGUUGCUGACGAGUGGCGGACGGGUGAGUAAUGCUUGGGAAUUUGCCUUUAGGAGGGGGAUAACAGUUGGAAACGACUGCUAAUACCGCAUAAUGUCUACGGACCAAAGGGGGCUUUUAGCUCCCACCUAUAGAGAAGCCCAAGUGAGAUUAGCUAGUUGGUGAGGUAAAGGCUCACCAAGGCGACGAUCUCUAGCUGUUCUGAGAGGAAGAUCAGCCACACUGGGACUGAGACACGGCCCAGACUCCUACGGGAGGCAGCAGUGGGGAAUAUUGCACAAUGGGGGAAACCCUGAUGCAGCCAUGCCGCGUGUGUGAAGAAGGCCUUCGGGUUGUAAAGCACUUUCAGUUGUGAGGAAAGGUUAAUGGUUAAUACCCAUUAGCUGUGACGUUAGCAACAGAAGAAGCACCGGCUAACUCCGUGCCAGCAGCCGCGGUAAUACGGAGGGUGCAAGCGUUAAUCGGAAUUACUGGGCGUAAAGCGCACGCAGGCGGUUUGUUAAGCUAGAUGUGAAAGCCCCGGGCUCAACCUGGGAUGGUCAUUUAGAACUGGCAGACUAGAGUUUUGGAGAGGGGAGUGGAAUUCCAGGUGUAGCGGUGAAAUGCGUAGAUAUCUGGAGGAACAUCAGUGGCGAAGGCGACUCUCUGGCCAAAGACUGACGCUCAUGUGCGAAAGUGUGGGUAGCGAACAGGAUUAGAUACCCUGGUAGUCCACACCGUAAACGCUGUCUACUAGCUGUGUGUGUAUUUAAUACGUGCGUAGCGAAGCUAACGCGCUAAGUAGACCGCCUGGGGAGUACGGGCCGCAAGGUUAAAACUCAAAUGAAUUGACGGGGGCCCGCACAAGCGGUGAGCAUGUGGUUUAAUUCGAUGCAACGCGAAGAACCUUACCUACACUUGACAUGCAGAGACUUUCCAGAGAUGGAUUGAUGCCUUCGGACUCUGACACAGUGCUGCAUGCUGUCGUCAGCUCGUGUCGUGAGAUGUGGGUUAGUCCCGCACGAGCGCACCCUUGUCUAGUGCCAGCAUAGUGGCACUUAGGAGACUGGCGGUGACAAACCGGAGAAGGUGGGACAACCUCAGUCUUCAUGGCCCUAUCUGUUG